AAAAAAGGUAAGCUACUAAGAGCGAAUGGUGGAUGCCUUGACUGGUAAAGGCGAUGAAGGACGUACUAGACUGCGAUAAGCUACGGGGAGCUGUCAAGAAGCUUUGAUCCGUAGAUUUCCGAAUGGGGCAACCCAAUGUAUAGAGAUAUACAUUACCUAUAUAGGAGCGAACGAGGGGAAUUGAAACAUCUUAGUACCCUCAGGAAAAGAAAUCAAUAGAGAUUGCGUCAGUAGCGGCGAGCGAAAGCGCAAGAGGGCAAACCCAGUGCUUGCACUGGGGGUUGUAGGACUGCAAUGUGCAAGAGGUAAGUUUAGCAGAACAUUCUGGAAAGUAUAACCAUAGAGGGUGAUAGUCCCGUAUGCGAAAAACAAACCUUAGCUAGCAGUAUCCUGAGUAGGGCGGGACACGAGGAAUCCUGUCUGAAUCCGGGUCGACCACGAUCCAACCCUAAAUACUAAUACCAGAUCGAUAGUGCACAAGUACCGUGAGGGAAAGGUGAAAAGAACUGAGGUGAUCAGAGUGAAAUAGAACCUGAAACCAUUUGCUUACAAUCAUUCAGAGCCCUAUGUAGCAAUACAGGGUGAUGGACUGCCUUUUGCAUAAUGAGCCUGCGAGUUGUGGUGUCUGGCAAGGUUAAGCAAACGCGAAGCCGUAGCGAAAGCGAGUCUGAAUAGGGCGCUUAGUCAGAUGCUGCAGACCCGAAACGAAGUGAUCUAUCCAUGAGCAAGUUGAAGCUAGUGUAAGAACUAGUGGAGGACUGAACCCAUAGGCGUUGAAAAGCCCCGGGAUGACUUGUGGAUAGGGGUGAAAGGCCAAUCAAACUUCGUGAUAGCUGGUUCUCUCCGAAAUAUAUUUAGGUAUAGCGUUGUGUCGUAAUAUAAGGGGGUAGAGCACUGAAUGGGCUAGGGCAUAUACCAAUGUACCAAACCCUAUCAAACUCCGAAUACCUUAUAUGUAAUCACAGCAGUCAGGCGGCGAGUGAUAAAAUCCGUCGUCAAGAGGGAAACAACCCAGACUACCAGCUAAGGUCCCUAAAUCUUACUUAAGUGGAAAACGAUGUGAAGUUACUUAAACAACCAGGAGGUUGGCUUAGAAGCAGCCAUCCUUUAAAGAAAGCGUAAUAGCUCACUGGUCUAGUGAUUUUGCGCGGAAAAUAUAACGGGGCUAAAGU
rnacentral:rRNA from 1 species